rnacentral:rRNA from 1 species
GACGAACGCUGGCGGCGUGCUUAACACAUGCAAGUCGAACGGAAAGGCCCUGCUUGCAGGGUACUCGAGUGGUGAACGGGUGAGUAACACGUGGGUGAUCUGCCCUGCACUUCGGGAUAAGCCUGGGAAACUGGGUCUAAUACCGGAUAGGAGCCAUUUUUAGUGUGAUGGUUGGAAAGUUUUUUCGGUGUAGGAUGAGCUCGCGGCCUAUCAGCUUGUUGGUGGGGUAAUGGCCUACCAAGGCGGCGACGGGUAGCUGGCCUGAGAGGGUGGACGGCCACAUUGGGACUGAGAUACGGCCCAGACUCCUACGGGAGGCAGCAGUGGGGAAUAUUGCACAAUGGGCGCAAGCCUGAUGCAGCGACGCCGCGUGGGGGAUGACGGCCUUCGGGUUGUAAACUCCUUUCGCUAGGGACGAAGCUUUUUGUGACGGUACCUAGAUAAGAAGCACCGGCUAACUACGUG